CUCAGCACCGCCAGCCCCGGGAUCCGGCCAGUGGGUGGGAGGGGGCGAAACCGAGGCGGAGACAGGACGCACACCGAGGGGGCGGACUCCCGGUCUCGCCAGUCCGCGGGAGAGCCCACCGCGCACCCCGGGCCCAGGGGACGGAGGAAAGAGAUACGAAGGACUUCUUUAUUCUUCCUCAGAGGCUCUUCGCCUUCCGACUAAGUGCUAGCCCAUCAGACCAAGCUUCGGGCCAGGACUGUGUGGAGGCCAGGUGAACUUGAACAUGGAGAGCUGGAGCGCCAUCAAACCCCGCGCCUCACCUGCCCCGAGCCUCACCUGCCUGGCACCUCGGGGUGCAGCCAGCACCUGACUGCGGCUGGAGCCGACGUCCCCAGUGCCCGGGCCGGAUGACAGCCAAGCAGGAGCCAGCUGAGAAGGGCUGUCCCUCCUGAAUGCAGGUUCUGCUUCCCUGGAGAACCCCACCUAAUACACCUGGCGCAGUGACGAUGGCGGUGCUUCCGGGUGGACACUGCAGGCUGAAUGGAGGGAUCUAUGGAGGAACCUGCUGGACCCUAAAUAUGGGGUGACUCUCUCUGCGCCCUUCCCUCAUUCCACUCAGGUUCCCAGGUUCACGGCUCGAAGGUCUGAUUCUCUCCAUAGACAAGGGCAGGUGGAGUCAGUUAGGUGGGCCAAUGCCAAGGGCAGCUCCCGGAAGCUGGGUCUUCCCUGAGGCUAAGAAGCCAGUGUGAGGAAAGGGGCAGGUGGCCCAAGGUGAGAACCCAGGAGCAGCAUCCAGCUUCAGGUCCAAGAGUUAUGACCCGAGUCACAUGCAAGAGUCGCUGUUCAUGGGAAGGAGGUGAGAUGGCUGGCGCUGUGGAAACUAUUACGGAUCAUGAGGCAAGCAGAGGACAGGGAGCCCGCGUCUGCGAUGAUGCUGUCAUCCCAGCCCUGGAUUGCGGACUCCAGGUCUCUCUACAGGAGGGAAGCCAUUCCUCCGCGUUUGGGACACUGGCUGGUGCUCGGUUACUCGAUGCGAAUGCAGUCGGUAACAGGCUCACAGUGACUUCACCUCCACCCACAUCUGCCUCCUCCGGCCAGUGGUCUUCAGAGGUUCAUUCAGCGGGAAUCCACGGUCACGGUGCCCUGAUGCAGCAGAGGGCAUGCUGAGCUGGCUGAAGGAGUCUGGGACGGACCCCAGUCAACUGGACUCUAUCCGACUCCUCGGGCUAAUUGGAUUGAACGAGUGCUGCUUGCAGUUGCCGCACGAAAAGGAAAGAGGCCUGUGUGUGGGGCAUGGUAGGUGAAGAAUGUAAGAAACUUCCUUCUCACCCUGGCUGGGGAGCUUAGCCAGUUAGAGCAGGGGUCCUCAACCUCAGGGCCCAGGGCUGUGGACCGGUACUGGGCCGGCCUGUCAGGAGCCAGGAUGCACAGCAGGAGGUGAGCUUGAAGGAAUGCAUUUGAAUCAUCCCAAAACCAUCAGCCCCACCCUGGUCCAUGGAAAAAUUGUCUUCCAUGAAACCUGUCUCUGGUGCCAACAAGGUUAGGGACCACUGGGCUAGAGCAUGGUCCUGAUACACCAAGGUUGUGGGUUCGAUUCCCACGCAGGGCACAUAUAACAACCAACCAAAGAGUACAUAUAGUAAGUGGAACAAAUUGAUGUUUCCCCCUCCUCCCUCCCUCUCUCUAAAACCAAUAAAUAAAAAAU